GAACGCUAGCGGCAGGCCUAACACAAGCAAGUCGAGGGAGAAGCCUUCGGGCUGAAACCGGCGCACGGGUGCGUAACGCGUAUACAAUCUGCCUUUCACAUAGGGAUAGCCCGAAGAAAUUUGGAUUAAUACCUAAUGGUAUAUAGGAGCGGCAUCGUUUUUAUAUUAAAGCUACGGUGGUGAAAGAUGAGUAUGCGUUCUAUUAGCUAGUUGGAGAGGUAACGGCUCCCCAAGGCGACGAUAGAUAGGGGUUCUGAGAGGGAUGUCCCCCACACUGGUACUGAGAUACGGACCAGACUCCUACGGGAGGCAGCAGUGAGGAAUAUUGGACAAUGGUCGGAAGACUGAUCCAGCCAUGCCGCGUGCAGGAUGAAGGUCCUAUGGAUUGUAAACUGCUUUUGUAAGGGAAGAAUAAGGGGUACGUGUACUUUGAUGACGGUACCUUACGAAUAAGCAUCGGCUAACUCCGUGCCAGCAGCCGCGGUAAUACGGAGGAUGCGAGCGUUAUCCGGAAUCAUUGGGUUUAAAGGGUCCGUAGGCGGGCUAAUAAGUCAGAGGUGAAAGCGUUCAGCUCAACUGAGCAACUGCCUUUGAAACUGUUAGUCUUGAAUGAUUGUGAAGUAGUUGGAAUGUGUAGUGUAGCGGUGAAAUGCUUAGAUAUUACACAGAACACCGAUAGCGAAGGCAUAUUACUAACAAUUUAUUGACGCUGAUGGACGAAAGCGUGGGGAGCGAACAGGAUUAGAUACCCUGGUAGUCCACGCUGUAAACGAUGGAUACUAGCUGUUUGGAGCAAUCUGAGUGGCUAAGCGAAAGUGAUAAGUAUCCCACCUGGGGAGUACGCACGCAAGUGU
rnacentral:rRNA from 1 species